rnacentral:lncRNA from 1 species
AUGUCUCCUUUCCUAACCUGACGAAAAUAAUGCUCUUUGAUUGCAAAUCAUGUCCGCAGCUUCCUCCACUAGGCCUGUUGCCCCAGCUGAAAUCCCUUUUUUUAUUGGUACAGCACGUUCUAUCAAAACCAUCGGACCUGAAUUUCUUGGCCCCCGUGAAUCGUCAGUAGCGACUUCAUUUCCCAAGCUUGAAGAGCUGGAAUUUUGCAGGAUGGACAACCGGGAAGAAUGGUCGUUUGGUAUGGUGGAGGGGGGUUGGUGAAGAAAGAAGAGGAGCCCCCAAGUUGCUGCCUUAUCUCAGCAAGUUGGGUCUUGGUGGAUGUCCCAAGCUGAGAUCUCUUCCUCCACUAGGCCUGUUGCCCCAGCUGAAAUCCCUUUGCAUUGUGACAGCAUAUGCAAUCAAAACUAUCGGACCUGAAUUUCUUGGCCCCCGUGCAUUGUCAGCAGCGACUUCAUUUCCCAAGCUUGAAGAGCUGCAAUUUUAUGGGUUGAAGAACUGGGAAGAAUGGUCG